rnacentral:rRNA from 1 species
AUGGCUGUGGCCUCCAUGGUUCAUGCACCGUCUCUCCUGGCAGUGCAGACCUUCCGCGGACAGAAGAAUGCUGCCGCUAACCGCUCACCGAGAGCGGCGGCUUUCAGAGUCCGGGCGGCGAAGCUUCCUGCCGGAGUCCGGGUGCCAAGGGCGCAGCCCAAGCUGAGUGAGCCGUUCCUGGGGUUCACCAAGACCGCGGAGGUCUGGAACUCCAGGGCCUGCAUGAUGGGCCUCAUUGGGACCUUCAUCGUGGAGCUGAUAUUGCACAAAGGUGUUCUUGAGAUAAUCGGUUUCGAAGUGGGGAAAGGCCUCGAUAUUCCACUGUAG